rnacentral:rRNA from 1 species
UACCAUGCCAGUCGAACGGUGCAUAGCGGAAAGGAGAUUUCGAUUUCCAGGAAGUUAUGGAUAGUGGCGGACGGGUGAGUAACGCGUGGAGAACCUGGCUCAUACAGGGGGAUAACAGUUAGAAAUGACUGCUAAAACCGCAUAAGCGCACGAAAUCGCAUGAUUUUGUGUGAAAAACUCCGGUGGUAUGAGAUGGCUCCGCGUCUGAUUAGCUAGUUGGAAGGGUAAAAGCCUACCAAGGCAACGAUCAGUAGCCGGCCUGAGAGGGUGAACGGCCACAUUGGGACUGAGACACGGCCCAAACUCCUACGGGAGGCAGCAGUGGGGAAUAUUGCACAAUGGGGGAAACCCUGAUGCAGCGACGCCGCGUGAGGGAAGAAGCAUUUCGGUGCGUAAAGCUCUAUCAGCAGGGAAGAAAAUGACGGUACCUGACUAAGAAGCCCCGGCUAACUACGUGCCAGCAGCCGCGGUAAUACGUAGGGGGCAAGCGUUAUCCGGAUUUACUGGGUGUAAAGGGAGCGUAGACGGCUUAAUAAGUCUGAAGUGAAAGGUGUGGGCUCAACUCGCAAACUGCUUUGGAAACUGUAAAGCUAGAGUGACGGAGAGGUAAGCGGAAUUCCUAGUGUAGCGGUGAAAUGCGUAGAGAUUAGGAGGAACACCAGUGGCGAAGGCGGCUUACUGGACGAGAACUGACGUUGAGGCUCGAAAGCGUGGGGAGCAAACAGGAUUAGAUACCCUGGUAGUCCACGCGGUAAACGAUGAAUACUAGGUGUGAGGGAGCAAAGCUGCCUGGUGCCGAAGCAAACGCAAUAAGUAUUCCACCUGGGGAGUACGUUCGCAAGAAUGAAACUCAAAGGAAUUGACGGGGACCCGCACAAGCGGUGGAGCAUGUGGUUUAAUUCGAAGCAACGCGAAGAACCUUACCAGGUCUUGACAUCCCUUUGACACAUCCGUAACGGGAUGGUUCCUACGGGACAAAGGAGACAGGUGGUGCAUGGUUGUCGUCAGCUCGUGUCGUGAGAUGUUGGGUUAAGUCCCGCAACGAGCGCAACCCUUAUCCUUAGUAGCCAGCAGGGAAGCUGGGGACUCUAGGGAGACUGCCAGGGAGAACCUGGAGGAAGGCGGGGAUGACGUCAAAUCAUCAUGCCCCUUAUGAUCUGGGCUACACACGUGCUACAAUGGCGGAGACAAAGGGAGGCAACUACGUGAGUAGGAGCGAACCUCAAAACGGCCGUCUCAGUUCGGAUUGUAGUCUGCAACUCGACUACAUGAAGUCGGAAUCGCUAGUAAUCGCGAAUCAGCAUGUCGCGGUGAAUACGUUCCCGGGUCUUGUACACACCGCCCGUCACACCAUGGAAGUUUGUAACGCCCGAAGCCCGUGACCCAACUGAAAGAGAGGAGCGUCAAGGCGAC